GUACUAGGAUGGGUGACCUC
rnacentral:snRNA from 1 species